ensembl:snRNA U6 U6 spliceosomal RNA
GCGCUCGCUUCGGCAGCACACAUACUAAAAUUGGAAUGAUACAGAGAAGAUUAGCAUGGCCCCUGCUCAAGGACGACAUGCAAAUUCAUAAAGCAUUCCAUAAAAAU